AAUGCAGUGAAAAUAGAAAAAACACAGCGUGUUUCCUCAUUGAGAUCUUUAUUACAAGAUGAACAACUCUUGUGGCAUUAAAAGGGAUCCAUUCAAUGGUUACACUUGAAAAUAUGCGCUGCUGUACUCUUAAGCAGCGGAGCCGACAGCUAGAAGCCGGUGCUCAUAAACACAACUGACCUUCGUUUUUUUUUUCUCUCUAACUAAUUCAUCUCACCUUUUGAAAUUCAUUCAUCUAGAUUCAUCGUGAUUAAAAGUUUGUUUUCUUCUAAAGACUAAAUCUUAUAAAUUAACGAGUAAUCACUUCAGACAGCGUGUAUUUUAGACACUGUUGUUUAAUUGUAUUUUUUUCGUGCUCUCUCUCCGUCAGCCAAGGAAUGUAUGCGAGACACAAUGGUGCCCCUCGACGGUAAAUUUUAAGAAUUGUCCCCUGAAGCAAUUCGAAUUGAUGGGCCGACAGUCACCGGCAACCUAAACUGCUACAGCGUUGGUAACCUUUUCACGGACUGGUCUAGUUAAUUUCCUAGAGAAGUCGUGGAGUGUGGGUUGGCGACCAUCUAACCUGGGACUGCUUUCUGCCGGGUGCUUUGCAUUAAGGUGAUACGAAGACGAGCUGCUUCUGUGAUAGCUACAUUCAGCUUGACAAAUGCUACAUACAACUUUAGUUUUGUCGAUCGUUCUGUCAUUUUGCCUCUUAAACAGAAACUUUCCGCCCAACAAUCCCUCAGCUCUCUCCAUCUUCAACUACCGUCUCGGUCUCUUCUAUCUAACUGACUGCAGACACACGGCGGUUUCGUGUCAGGGGUCAACGCACACCGGAAGUAAACAAAGUUGCGUUAACUGCGUUCAAAUAUUUGAUUGCAUUAAUCUCAGCCACAAUAAUGUCAAAGAAUAACGCGUUAACUUUGACAGCCCUAAAAUAAAUAAAUUACACGCACACUACGCAAAAGAACAUGCAUGCGUUUUAAUCGAUGAAAAAAUAAUUUCAUCGAGGAAAUUCUUAAUGAUCAAUUAAUCGAUCGUCGAUUAAUUAUGCCCAUCCCUAGUACUUGUUAAUUUCAAGUUAGAUACAGGAGCGGCAGUCACCGCCAUACCAGAAUCAGUGUACUCAAGAGGCAGAGAUGGUGAACUGCAAAAAGCACAGCGAUUGAUAUGUGGCCCCAAUAACCAACCAUUGACGGUACUGGGCACAUUUAAUGCAUGUCUUAAAAAGGGCAAACAGAAAACAGAGCAGGAAAUAUUUGUAGUCCAGGAUCUAGUGAUGCCACUGCUAGGUCUCCCUGCUAUUCAGAGUCUACCGCUGCUCCAGCAGGUGGCAGCAGUCCAAGCCAUGGGAAACAAAUUUAAGACCAUGUUCCCAAAGGUUUUCUUAGGCUUAGGGAAGCUACAAGGUAGCUAUAAGAUUGAGUUAGCCGACGGUGCAAUGCCAUAUGCCCUAUCAGCUCCUAGACGUGUAGCAUUACCUCUCAUGGAUAAAGUGA
ensembl:lncRNA